UGACGCCUGCCCGGUGCUGGAAGGUUAAGAGGAGAGGUUAGCGCAAGCGAAGCUUUGAAUUGAAGCCCCAGUAAACGGCGGCCGUAACUAUAACGGUCCUAAGGUAGCGAAAUUCCUUGUCGGGUAAGUUCCGACCCGCACGAAAGGCGUAACGAUUUGGGCACUGUCUCAACGAGAGACUCGGUGAAAUUAUAGUACCAGUGAAGAUGCUGGUUACCCGCGACAGGACGGAAAGACCCCAUGGAGCUUUACUGCAGUUUGAUAUUGCGUGUUUGUAUCACAUGUACAGGAUAGGUAGGAGCCGAAGAUACCGGGACGCCAGUCUCGGAGGAGGCAACGGUGGGAUACUACCCUUGUGAUAUGACCACUCUAACCCGCUGCUCUUAGCGAGCAGGGAGACAGUGUCAGACGGGCAGUUUGACUGGGGCGGUCGCCUCCAAAAAUGUAACGGAGGCGCCCAAAGGUUCCCUCAGAAUGGUUGGAAAUCAUUCGUAGAGUGUAAAGGCAGAAGGGAGCUUGACUGCGAGACCUACAAGUCGAGCAGGGACGAAAGUCGGGCUUAGUGAUCCGGUGGUUCCGCAUGGAAGGGCCAUCGCUCAACGGAUAAAAGCUACCCUGGGGAUAACAGGCUUAUCUCCCCCAAGAGUUCACAUCGACGGGGAGGUUUGGCACCUCGAUGUCGGCUCAUCGCAUCCUGGGGCUGUAGUCGGUCCCAAGGGUUGGGCUGUUCGCCCAUUAAAGCGGUACGCGAGCUGGGUUCAGAACGUCGUGAGACAGUUCGGUCCCUAUCCGUCGCGGGCGUUGGAAAUUUGAGAGGAGCUGUCCUUAGUACGAGAGGACCGGGAUGGACACACCGCUGGUGUACCAGUUGUUCUGCCAAGAGCAUCGCUGGGUAGCUAUGUGUGGACGGGAUAAACGCUGAAAGCAUCUAAGCGUGAAGCCCCCCUCAAGAUGAGAUUUCCCAUCACUUUAAGUGAGUAAGACCCCUGAGAGAUGAUCAGGUAGAUAGGUUGGGAGUGGAAGUACAGCGAUGUAUGGAGCGGACCAAUACUAAUCGGUCGAGGACUUAACCAA
rnacentral:rRNA from 1 species